AACGAACGCUGGCGGCAUGCCUAACACAUGCAAGUCGAACGAGACCUUCGGGUCUAGUGGCGCACGGGUGCGUAACGCGUGGGAACCUGCCUUUAGGUUCGGAAUAACUCAGAGAAAUUUGAGCUAAUACCGGAUGAUGUCUUCGGACCAAAGAUUUAUCGCCUUUAGAUGGGCCCGGGUUGGUUUAGCUAGUUGGUGGGGUAAGGGCCUACCAAGGGGACGAUCCAUAGCUGGUUGGAGAGGAUGAUAAGCCACACUGGGACUGAGACACGGCCCAGAAUCCUACGGGAGGCAGCAGUGGGGAAUAUUGGACAAUGGGCGAAAGCCUGAUCCAGCAAUGCCGCGUGAGUGAUGAAGGCCUUAGGGUUGUAAAGCUCUUUUACCCGAGAUGAUAAUGACAGUAUCGGGAGAAUAAGCUCCGGCUAACUCCGUG
rnacentral:rRNA from 1 species